rnacentral:rRNA from 1 species
GAUGAACGCUGGCGGCGUGCCUAAUACAUGCAAGUCGAGCGAACGGACGAGAAGCUUGCUUCCCUGAUGUUAGCGGCGGACGGGUGAGUAACACGUGGAUAACCUACCUAUACGAAUGGGAUAACUUCGGGAAACCGGAGCUAAUACCGGAUAAUAUUUUGAACCGCAUUGUUCAAAAGUUAAAGACGCUCUUGCUGUCACUAAUAGAUGGCUCCGCGCUGCAUGAGCUAGUGGUUAAGGUAACGGCUUACCAAGGCAACGAUGCAUAGCCGCCCCGAGAGGGAGAUCGGCCACACGGGAACUGAGAAACGGCCGCGACUCCUACGGGAGGCAGCAGUCGGGACUCUUACGCAAUGGGCGAAAGCGUGAUAGAGCACAACCGCGGGAGUGAUGAAGGUCUUCGGAUCGGAAAACUCUGUAGGUAGGAAAGAACAAAAGUGUAUGUACCUGGGCUGAUAUUGACGGUACCGAAAGAGUAAGCCCCGGCUAACUACGUG